ensembl:lncRNA
GACUAUGAUCAUAAAAAUGUCCUUGGCGUGUGCACCCCUGUGGAAUCCAGUACAUCUCUAAUCUGUCAGGAAGCAUCAGAGGUGGUUUUGACUCCUUAUGUCCUGAGCCUGUGCACAAAAUGUGUAAACUGGAUAGAACAUCAGACAGCUCAUUAUAGAGACAAGUACGCUCCAUUCCCAAAGUUGGAUGACAGAACAAGUCAGGACCUUGUGUGGAGGAAAAUGAGAUCCCGAGUGAAGUCUACAAUGUCAUUGACUCUGAAGAAGGACUCAGAGACCCAUUGGUGUUUAAUGACCCUUACUGGCCUAUGCAAUGGGAAACUGAAUCUUGAGAAUUGCCAUUUCCCAGGAGGAGGCCUGCCUUAGCCUCCUUGCCGCAUCAGUCCUUGAAUGGGAACAGCCUGUGAGAAGUACAGCUUCAGUGCAAACACUGUGCCUGAGAGGAGAGCUACGCCCAAGGUCAGUUAUCUUUAGUUGCAGUUAUAAGAGAUCUGAGAGGCACAUUUUCAUGGUCACCAUGGUGGAUGAGAGCUAGUUUAUUAUCAAAGGAACACCUGGGACCAAGAAAAUGAAAAUAUCAAAAGAAAACCAAAAUAUUUAAUCACCUGUAAUGUUCCGGGUGUUUUUAGUGUCUUCACAGUAGUUAUCUCUUUUACAUUUUACAACUACCCUAAGGAGUAAUCUUACUAUCGUUAUAUUGAAUAUAUAAAAACUGAAAUUUAGAUAACUGAUAUCAUCUUAAUUUUAAGGAGAUACUUGAAUAGUAAAUGACAUUAUAUUAAACUCAAUUGCCAAAUGGAUGCCUCCGUAGGGUUCUAGAAAGUAUGUUGUCAGUAUCACCACCAAUUUCAUCAGAAAAAUCUUAGGUAUUAUGAAGCUCAAAUUUUUAUCACUGGCAGCAAAUACCAUUGGUUUCUUCCUCUGACAGGUUUACUUCAAUCAUUUUUGAUUAAGUAUCUCCCAAAUACCCAUGUCAAACAAUAGUUUGUCAUUAAUUCUUUCUAGCAAAUGAUAUUCCAUCAAAGACUGGCUAGUUCAGCUUGUGAUCCAGUGGGGCAAGUGCUUCUCCUUUAUACUUCAGUAGAUAUCAGAAGUGCAUUUGUAUACUUUCUACUUCAUCACAGGUGUUAUUGAAAUGAUGUGUCUUCAAGUUUCAAGAUUUAAUAAAAUUAUCAAUUUUGACUGCUUUACUGAGGACAUUCUUAAGGGAAGCUCUUCAUUCAAUUAAUUGAACUAUUUAUUAAAUGUGAAUCUGUGGUGGUGAGAAAUAUCAUGACUUCUAGUAGUUUGGUGCAAACUGACAGGAGCUUUAUCCACCUUUACGUUUGGUACCAUUAGUGCAAUUAUGAACACAGCAAAAAAAAAAUCAAGUAAUGUCUUAGUAUUAUUAUGACAAAGUUUUGACCAUGUGUAUCGACUUAAAGUAUCUUGAGUUACUGAGGGGUCCACAGACCACACUGUACAACAUUGUUCAAGAUUAUAGUUAAGAACCUUGAGACUAUUCUAGAAUAUUUGCUCCAUGAGGGCAUGGAUCUUUGAUUUGUUCAUUUAUGUGUCCCAAGCACUCAGAAUGAUCUGUAACACAUGAUAUAAGUAUAAACAUAUUACCUGUUGCAUUAAAGAAAGAAACAUUGAAAUCAUGAAUUUUGAUCCCUCCUCUUUCCCCCACACCCUCACCACCAAUCAGACUAUGUGCUGAAUGGUUGUGUGAUUUAGUUUUAUAAUUUUUAAAAGAGAUAAUAUUAGUACCUAGCUUACAGGUUUGUUUUAAAGAUGAAAUAUGACAGUGCAUUAAAAUGCUUUGCAGAAUGACCAACACAAGGCAGUGAUGUUCAUUAUUUAAAAAUAUAUUAGGAAAAACAUGUAAAGGAUCCGUAGUUGUCUCAGUUAUAACUGGUUCUGUCUAUAAUAGUAUUGCAAUCAAAAGAGUAAAGGAUCAUAUGUAAACAAAGACCUGGGAUAGCAGUUGAAGGCUUAGGUGGUAGCUCCAGAAUGUCUUCAGUCACUCAGGCUUCUAUUUUUCUGCAUUAAUAUCCUACCACAUGACUUUCAUCUUAAGGUCAUAUCUUGAUCCAGUGUAACUGCUGAAAGUCCAGUUUUUGCUUCUGCAGUGAAGGCCAGAAGAAGAAAGAAAGGUGGAAAGGUGUUUGUUUUGUUUUGUUUUUAAAGUCUGACCCCAGCUAAAUCAGCUCCCUUUAAACAGGUUUCUCAGAAGUCUCAUAUCCCAAAUCUGCAUUUUGUUAGCUGCAGCAUGGUCACAUACAAGGGAGGCAGAGAAGUUAGCUUUUUAUUCUUUGUGUCAACAUGCCUACCUAAAAAUUAGGAUUCCUAUACUAAGAAGAAAGAAGAAAACUGAUUGCCUCUACCUCUUCCUGGAACAAAGUAAUAGUUGCUAUGUAACAUAUAACAUGGAUAUAUUCAAUUGUGCAGAAGACUGAUUGAUACAGAUGUUUUUUGCUCCUCUGUGGGUAUAACAACUCUUUGACCUAGCACUGAACUCAGCACCUACCAUAGGCCUUUAUCCUUACAAAAGGGCCGAGGUUGCACAUCACAUUCUAUCUAGUGCCUCCAUGUUCUCCCCAGGAUCAAGCGGUGGGAAUUUAUAUGUACAGUGCAUUGAAUGUGAUUCAGCUACACUGAUGACUAACCAUUUUAGGCUGAACUGAGAGCACUACAGCCUUCUAAGUUUCCUGAAUCUUAUCCCAAUUAUAUUUCAUUUAAUAACACUCAGUGAAAUAUCUGGUGGCAGGGGAAAUGAAACUACAUGCUUUUAUGGGAUCAUUCAUCAAGAACUAAUUGAAGCGUUCAUACAGUUUAGUGCUGAUAAAACAGUGUAACAAUAAACAAUAACAAAAUUCACUGGAGAAGGAUUUGUUUUGCCGUGAGGAAAAUGGUUCUGUUUCAUCCUGGGAUUCCUGGUUAAAAGAGUCUCCAAUUUACAAAAGGAUAAGCGCAGACUCCUCUGCAUAAUGACGGGGUGGAAGCUGUGUCAAAUGUAUUAGUGUUGCUCCACUGGAGCCAUUCUCAUCCUAAGUAUUUGCUAUUGUGUGGGACUCUAGCAGGAGGCUGCAGGACCAAUAGGAUUUUUAAAAGUUUCUUUUCCUAUUUAUUGUUAUGAUGCUUGAAGCAGCUCCUUCUUAGUUUUUAUUGGAAAAUAUAGAAAAAUCUUAAAGUGUACUUUAAUAAGUUCAGAUUUUCUUAAAUCCCAAUUUAAGAAGUUCUUUUUUGAAUACUGCUGCAUAUGGAGUUAGUUGGCUUUUUGUCACUGCAAUCCUUGUUCCUCCACAUGUGGUGCUUGGAUGUCUGGCUGAAUUGAAAAGGAAGGAAUAGAGAAUAGACACCUUAUACUAUCUCAUUUUCUUGGGAGUGACUGAAUCAUAGCAAAAUGAAAUGUAUGAGAAAUGUGCCACAAACUGCUGUAAACCUGAACAUUUAUUUGCUAUAUUUAUGUGACUUAGAUGGCAGUAAGCAUCAUGUAAUAAGUGUAGCAUUUACUUGGUAAUUGGUAUGUCUUAUAUAUAUAAUAACCACAGAUUUUAUUGGUAAAACAUAUUACCUAGGCUCAAUUUCAC